GAUGAACGCUGGCGGCGUGCCUAAUACAUGCAAGUCGAGCGAACGGACGAGAAGCUUGCUUCUCUGAUGUUAGCGGCGGACGGGUGAGUAACACGUGGAUAACCUACCUAUAAGACUGGGAUAACUUCGGGAAACCGGAGCUAAUACCGGAUAAUAUUUUGAACCGCAUGGUUCAAAAGUGAAAGACGGUCUUGCUGUCACUUAUAGAUGGAUCCGCGCUGCAUUAGCUAGUUGGUAAGGUAACGGCUUACCAAGGCAACGAUGCAUAGCCGACCUGAGAGGGUGAUCGGCCACACUGGAACUGAGACACGGUCCAGACUCCUACGGGAGGCAGCAGUAGGGAAUCUUCCGCAAUGGGCGAAAGCCUGACGGAGCAACGCCGCGUGAGUGAUGAAGGUCUUCGGAUCGUAAAACUCUGUUAUUAGGGAAGAACAUAUGUGUAAGUAACUGUGCACAUCUUGACGGUACCUAAUCAGAAAGCCACGGCUAACUACGUGCCAGCAGCCGCGGUAAUACGUAGGUGGCAAGCGUUAUCCGGAAUUAUUGGGCGUAAAGCGCGCGUAGGCGGUUUUUUAAGUCUGAUGUGAAAGCCCACGGCUCAACCGUGGAGGGUCAUUGGAAACUGGAAAACUUGAGUGCAGAAGAGGAAAGUGGAAUUCCAUGUGUAGCGGUGAAAUGCGCAGAGAUAUGGAGGAACACCAGUGGCGAAGGCGACUUUCUGGUCUGUAACUGACGCUGAUGUGCGAAAGCGUGGGGAUCAAACAGGAUUAGAUACCCUGGUAGUCCACGCCGUAAACGAUGAGUGCUAAGUGUUAGGGGGUUUCCGCCCCUUAGUGCUGCAGCUAACGCAUUAAGCACUCCGCCUGGGGAGUACGACCGCAAGGUUGAAGCUCAAAGGAAUUGACGGGGACCCGCACAAGCGGUGGAGCAUGUGGUUUAAUUCGAAGCAACGCGAAGAACCUUACCAAAUCUUGACAUCCUUUGACAACUCUAGAGAUAGAGCCUUCCCCUUCGGGGGACAAAGUGACAGGUGGUGCAUGGUUGUCGUCAGCUCGUGUCGUGAGAUGUUGGGUCAAGUCCCGCAACGAGCGCAACCCUUAAGCUUAGUUGCCAUCAUUAAGUUGGGCACUCUAAGUUGACUGCCGGUGACAAACCGGAGGAAGGUGGGGAUGACGUCAAAUCAUCAUGCCCCUUAUGAUUUGGGCUACACACGUGCUACAAUGGACAAUACAAAGGGCAGCGAAACCGCGAGGUCAAGCAAAUCCCAUAAAGUUGUUCUCAGUUCGGAUUGUAGUCUGCAACUCGACUACAUGAAGCUGGAAUCGCUAGUAAUCGUAGAUCAGCAUGCUACGGUGAAUACGUUCCCGGGUCU
rnacentral:rRNA from 1 species